rnacentral:pre_miRNA from 1 species
UGGCUACAAAAUAACUUAUUUUGUAGCCACUUUGAGUUACGAUAAUUACUAUAUUAAUUUAUAAGAUUAUAGUAACUCCUUACUAAGUGGUUUACUAAACAUUACGGUAAAUAUCUCUAUGUGUUAUAGUAACCCAACUAUCGUAAAUUAGUAUAUAAAAUUAUCGUAAAUGGAGGUGGCUACAGAAUAACAUAUUUUGUAGCUA